CCUACGGGUGGCAGCAGUGAGGAAUAUUGGUCAAUGGGCGAGAGCCUGAACCAGCCAAGUCGCGUGAAGGAUGAAGGAUCUAUGGUUUGUAAACUUCUUUUAUAUGGGAAUAAACUGAGGUACGUGUCCCUUUUUGUAUGUACCUUAUGAAUAAGCAUCGGCUAACUCCGUGCCAGCAGCCGCGGUAAUACGGGGGAUGCGUGCGUUAUCCGGAUUUAUUGGGUUUAAAGGGUGCGUAGGUGGUUAAUUAAGUCAGCAGUGAAAGUUUGUGGCUCAACCGUAAAAUUGCCGUUGAAACUGGUUGACUUGAGUGUAUUUGAGGUAGGCGGAAUGCGUGGUGUAGCGGUGAAAUGCAUAGAUAUCAGGCAGAACUCCGAUUGCGAAGGCAGCUUACUAGACUGUAACUGACACUGAGGCACGAAAGCGUGGGGAUCAAACAGGAUUAGAUACCCUUGUAGUC
rnacentral:rRNA from 1 species